rnacentral:tRNA from 1 species
CGUAUAGCUAAAUGGUAUAGCCCUUAUUAAUCACAUGAGUAUCGUGGGUUCGAUCCCCACUACG